GUGACAGACAGAAAAUGGAGCAUGAUGGAAAGGAAGAGAAUGGACACAAGAUUUCAAUCUAAGACCUGCGAACCAAAUAGGAUGAUUUUCUCAAUGAAUAUAUUGCCUGAUGUAUGAUUCUGAAGUGCAAGGGUUUCCUGACCAACCAAGAGUUUGCUUUGAAUGCCAAAGGUCAAAGCUAUCAAGGAAGAACUAAAGUCAGAGUAAAAGAUCAGAAAGCCCUUGUGUUAAAGCAAAAGCCACAGCUUGCACAAACUGCCAGAUAUUCAACCAUGACAAUCUCACCAUGCAAGCAUAUGAGAUGAUGCUCGAUUGACAUGAUCUUGGAGGACGAGGUAGCAAACAAGGAGGCGGCAGAAGCUAAACGAGAUUAGGACAGGCCUACCUGUACAUCCUGACCUCCAGGGAAGAGGCAGUCAUGGCCUUUAUUGGAAUGGCUGUUGCUGUGAUUGUGGCCAGGGGCGGGGCUGAAAACAUUAAAGGUCUGGUGCACUAGUGUGUGUUGUAAAGGUCACAGCAGAAGAAUAGCAAAUAGACAUCCCUGCAUCUUAGACAUAAAAGUCUCUCUCUUUGUGCUGGAGGCAAGUCACAAGUCAACAAAGCCACAGUCAAAAAGGAAACAGGACAACUUCUUCAGCUAUCCUGGAGAACCAAGCAUCUCCAAGCCAAUUGCUCAACAGCCAAAUUCAGUUCUACUGGAAUCACCCAACAUAAUGGCCACAACAUUUUGCCAUCUACUCCUCACAGACAAGCAGCAUCUGAUGGUCGAUAUCACAACUUCUAUUGCAGAACAAACAGUAGCCACCCAAUGUCUGAGUGCUGCAGUGGAAGCUCAGGCUGCUGCCUUCAUGGCUGUGGAUUACAAUGCUCAAAGAGACUUGCAGUGUGUCACAGCAGGCCAGCAAUCUGUCCUUCAACAGAUUGUUAGGAUUACUGAGGCAUGGCCCAUGGGAGGGCUGUAGCUCCACAGAGCAGGAAUCCGCUUUCAGGGUGACAGCAUUCAUCCUCCUGCCCCUGCUACUCCACCAGUGCCUGUACUGAUCCCGGUCAGCCAACCAGCCCAGACUUGUGUCGCCCACGCCGGGAUCAUGCAAUCCACAGCCAGGCCUUCUAGAACGACAGCUGCCUAAGGUCGUUCUGCAAAGCCACCUGCAGUCUCUCCCACUGAAAGUCAACAACCUUCCACCAUCCAUACUGCAACUACUGGGGUAGCACUGUGUAGGAGCAUUAGACCAGGCAAAGGAACAGAAAAGACAAGUUCUAAGGAACUGCACAAGGGUGAUUAGUUGACUUUUGUCUGUAA